rnacentral:sRNA from 1 species
UCCCCGGUCACCCUAUGGGGCAGCAAAACUCUAUGCCUAUUGGAUUGUGGUGAACUUCCGUGAGGCGUAUAAUCUCUUUGCAGUGAAUGGCAUUCUCUUCAAUCAUGAGAGUCCCAGAAGAGGAGCUAAUUUCGUUACUCGAAAAAUUAGCCGGUCAGUAGCUAAGAUUUACCUUGGACAACUGGAAUGUUUCAGUUUGGGAAAUCUGGAUGCCAAACGAGAUUGGGGCCAUGCCAAGGACUAUGUGGAGGCUAUGUGGUUGAUGUUGCAGAAUGACGAGCCGGAGGACUUCGUGAUAGCUACUGGGGAGGUCCAUAGUGUCCGGGAAUUUGUGGAGAAAUCAUUCUUGCACAUUGGAAAAACCAUUGUGUGGGAAGGAAAGAAUGAAAAUGAAGUGGGCAGAUGCAAAGAGACCGGCAAAGUUCACGUGACUGUGGAUCUCAAGUACUACCGGCCAACUGAAGUGAUCUUCAUGCAGAAAAAGUUACUUGUUCCUUAGUACUGCCAGCUGUGUG